AGUGUUGCUGCCGCGGGAAGCGUGUUGUCCAGCAAGGACGGACUUUAGGAAAGUUAGACGUGUAACUAACUCACAAAUCGGUUAUUAAGUUAUACUCGAUUUGUUUGCGUGAUUGGAGUUGAGUUACGUGCUCCUGUAUACUAACUGCUGUAGUUAGUAUACUUGAAGAUUAUUAAAGUGGCAGCUUGUCUGGGGGUGUGUGGCAGUGCCUGGAUAUCUGCAUCAGAGCCACGGAGAUCUGCGAGUUGUCCAGCCCGCGUAGCGGCUCGGGGCUGGUGGCAUUGAGCCACGUGAUGGAGGCCCUGGAUGAGAUGUUCUCCUCCCCCUACAUCUCUGCCAUCAGGGUCACGGUGAGCUGGAGCCUAACCCAUCAGACACAGGGCG